rnacentral:rRNA from 1 species
UGCGUAGACGGUUAUUUAAGUCGGAUGUGAAAGCCCCGGGCUCAACUUGGGAAUUGCAUUCGAGACUGAAUAGCUAGGGUGCGGUAGAGGGAAGCGGAAUUUCCGGUGUAGCGGUGAAAUGCGUAGAUAUCGGAAGGAACAUCAGUGGCGAAAGCGGCUUCCUGGACCAGCACCGACGUUCAGGCACGAAAGCGUGGGGAGAAC